GAGAGAGAGAGAGGGAGAGAGAGAGAAUAUUUCUGCUUUUACCUAUUUUAGUUGUAGGACUUUUCUGAAGAAGGUUAAUUUGAACAAAAAGUUUUUUGACAAAAACUUAUUCAAGAAAGCAGAGAUCAAGAUUGUUGAAGCAAAUUGUUCAGUUUUACACAGCCAAGUAAAGGAAAUUCAGAGCAAGAAUUUAGAACAAACCCAAUCUGGUGUCUCUCCAAUACUGAUGGCGAUAGGAGAUAGGGGCAGGAGGAUAGAAAGUGGGCAAGGAAAGGUGCUUCAGGAAUCAAAGAAAAAAAUGUUGGGAAUUUUGUAUGGGGUGGAGCCAUAGGAUUAUAUGUGGACUUUAAAAACAUUUGUAUGGAAGAUAAGACCCAGAAACAGCAAAUCACAUAAAACAAUUGUGGAACUCAAGAAUUAUACAGUGAACACCAUUGCCUUCACCAUCCAGGUCAAGAACAGAAAUUUUCAGCCUCCGCAGAAGACCUUCAGUUUUAGAGGCCAGAAAUUCAAAAUGAAGGCAUUGGCAGAGUUGGUUCCUCUGGGGGCUCUAAGAGAAGAUUCAUUUCAUGCCUACUUCCCAGCCUCUGGUGAGUGCUGGCAAUCUUUGGCAUUUCUUGAUGUGUAGCUGUCUCUACCUCCAAUCUCUGUCUCUGACUUCACAUAGUCUUUUCCUAUGUGUUUAUGUGUCUAAAAUCUCACUCUCCUUUCUCUUAUAAUUGGAUUAAAGGCUCAGCCUAAAUCCAGGAUGAUACCAUCCUAAGAUCUUUAACUUAAUUACAUCUGCAAAGACCCU
rnacentral:lncRNA from 1 species